rnacentral:lncRNA from 1 species
AUGGGUAACGCGCAGCGUAAAGCAUUGAUGGAAAAUAAUGAUGUGAAAUUCAUGCAGAGAAAGUAUCCCGGUAGUUGUUGCUAUCUAGAAGAUUGGUACAAAAAUUGUGGGUUUGCAGGGAAAUUGUCAGACGAAGCUGGAAUAGAGAAAGUGUCCAUCUGGUGUAAAGGAAAAAGAGUGAAGGCAUUAAAAAAGUUACGUCCUAAGCAGGCUGAGUUAAUAGCAGACCACUUAAGAGUAGUGUGUAUCUGGAAAGAUGCUAUGAGUAUUAGGAAAACACAGAUAGAGAAAGGUGAAGAGAGAAGGAAACAGAAAGUGUUAGCAGCAGCUAAAAUACAGCCUUGUGAUGAGACCGUGUGUGUACCGCGUAGAGUUGAGGAGACAAAUCAGCAACAGAAUGGGGCCGCAGGGGGUUUACAAGAGGGGGGAGCAGUUGCAGGACAAGAAACAAAGGGACCUGUGACUAGGGCAGCUAAACAAAAGUCAAAACAGAUGAAAGAAAGUGUUAACAGUGAGGAGGAUGAGCAAUAUCACAUAGCCCAGGCGGGGAUAGAGGAAAAUCUAUAUCCAAUUUUGCCUAUGAUUGAGGUAGCUAACCCUCGUGCAGGAGAAUUCCUAAACCCACAGGAUCCAUUACAGGGUGCACAUCCCCCACAGCUGUUGUUGUUUCGCCCAUGGACGGAGCAGGAAGCAUUAGAUGCCUGUAGGGGCGUAUGUGACGUUGAGAAGGACCCGACUGCUUAUGCUGAACAAGUAUGUGGGUUGAUUGAGACAUGGCAUUUAAAUGGACUGGAGGUGGAAAAGGUUUUAAAACUAACACUUAGACACCGAUAUCCAGUAGUGGUGGGCGGUUUUACCGGGAGACAAGUUAACCGUCAGCCCCUAGCACAUAACUCUAAUGAGCUGCGACAGCAGGUUGAAGCACUGAUGCAAAGAGUGAGGGCGACUUACACAAAACCCCCAAGCCACGAAGAAAUAAGUGCGUGUCGUCAGAAAUCAGACGAGACGCCAAUGGAAUAUCGUGCCCGUUUAGAAACGGUUUUUAGGACUAAUAGCGGGCUUCCUCAUUCUCCGCUGGUGGAUAAUCCAUACCAAAUACAGCUAAAAAUGUGGUUAAUCAGUGGUUUGUUGCCAAACGUGUCAGAUUUCAUAAAAGCAAACUGUGUCACACACCGCACCCUCACUGUUCCAGAGCUAAUGGAAUGGGCCGAACAUGCUUAUGAAGUCACUGAGAAAAAGAAAGCAAAAACUGAGUCAGCUAAUGUUAAUGUAUUGGCUGAGGCCAUGGCUGCAGCCCUGGUGAGCCAACGCUCAGGGUUUAAAAGACAGGGAAAAAAGCCAUAUCGCACCAGAACGCCUGAUGAGGAAAAACAAGCAAAAAUAGAUCGAGAAAAAAGACAAUGUUUCAUUUGUCAUGAGGAAGGACAUAUGGCAAGAGACUGCCCAAAAAGAAAGCAAAAGACAGACCAUACGCCGUUCGGGCAAACUCCUAGGCAAUGA